GAGCAGGCACCAGGAAGAUCCCUGGAGCCAGGAAGAAAGGCAUCCGUAUAUGGGUCCAACAACCGAGCAGAAGUAAGCUGAGUCCUAAACAGGAUCGACGAAAGCAUCUCCUUCUGUUCUCCUUUUGUUACCGCCUAUCAUUUAUUCAAGUCUCAUAUGAACAUUCUAACUUUGUUCAGUUGGGCCAUGGGGAACCAACCAAGAGUCCUCUGUCCAGUGUAAGAAAAAAAAAGUGGGAAGCAGUUCCUCCUUAGGCCAAUGUAGUGACGCCAAGAUCAGCCAUAGACCCCAAAGGGAAGGAGAGUCUCAGGAGAAAGCCAAGGCCAAUGGCCCAUCCAGUGCCAGCCCUGGAGUUCUGAGAUUUGUUUUGUUUUUGUUUUUGUUUUUUACUACGGAAGGUGAAAUUUCCUCACAGCAAUAGGUAAACCUGGGCAGGUAUCCUGGGGCACAGGUGCUGAACGCCACAACAAACAGCAGCCAACAGAAGGAGGCCAGGCCAGCAACAACAGAGACAAAGGACCCAGAGCCUGAAAGGUCAGGGUGGAUGCUGAGAGAUGCACCGUGGAGGAGAGACAGACUCAGACACGACAGAGGCUCUGUGGCUGGACCUGGGACCCACCAAGUUCCCACUGAGAUUUCGCGUCUAUCAUCUAUGAGCUGAUGACUCUGAAAUCGGCAUCUCCAGCCUGGAUUCCUCGUCUGACCUCCAGAUUCCCAUAUCCAACUGACGUGCACUUGGAAGUCCACCAGGCAGCUCAAACUGAGCAGACCUCAGAGAGGACUCUUGGUUCUCCGGCCCUACCCCCACUGCUGCAUCCCCAGCCUUCCCAUCUCAGCAGAUGGCACCACCUCUCACACACUUGUUCAAGCCCAAAACGGGGACUCUUCUUUGAGCCUUCUCUUUCCUUGUCUCCUGCCCCAGCUAAACUAUCAACUGAUCAGUUAAUUCUACUGCCACAGUUCAAACCAAGACUGUCCCCUUCUCUCCAUCUCUGAUGCCACCACCCUACACCCUUGUCUACGCGCCCAUCAACCUCUAGCAGGGCACAGAGAAAUGGCCUCACGUCUGAUCUCUGUGAGGCCCUCUUCCCAGCAAUAACU
rnacentral:lncRNA from 1 species